rnacentral:rRNA from 1 species
GAUGAACGCUGGCGGCGUGCCUAAUACAUGCAAGUCGAGCGAACGGACGAGAAGCUUGCUUCUCUGAUGUUAGCGGCGGACGGGUGAGUAACACGUGGAUAACCUACCUAUAAGACUGGGAUAACUUCGGGAAACCGGAGCUAAUACCGGAUAAUAUUUUGAACCGCAUGGUUCAAAAGUGAAAGACGGUCUUGCUGUCACUUAUAGAUGGAUCCGCGCUGCAUUAGCUAGUUGGUAAGGUAACGGCUUACCAAGGCAACGAUGCAUAGCCGACCUGAGAGGGUGAUCGGCCACACUGGAACUGAGACACGGUCCAGACUCCUACGGGAGGCAGCAGUAGGGAAUCUUCCGCAAUGGGCGAAAGCCUGACGGAGCAACGCCGCGUGAGUGAUGAAGGUCUUCGGAUCGUAAAACUCUGUUAUUAGGGAAGAACAUAUGUGUAAGUAACUGUACACAUCUUGACGGUGCCUAAUCAGAAAGCCACGGCUAACUACGUG